rnacentral:tRNA from 1 species
GCCUGGCUGGCUCAGUAGAGCAUAUGACUCUUGAUCUCAGAGUUGUGAGUUUGAACCCCAUGUUGGGCA